ACGCUGGCGGCACGCUUAACACAUGCAAGUCGAACGAGAUCUUCGGAUCUAGUGGCAGACGGGUGAGUAACGCGUGGGAACCUGCCCAGUAGUAGAGGACAACUUGGGGAAACUUAAGCUAAUACUUUAUACGUCCUUCGGGAGAAAGCUUUAUGCGCUAUUGGAUGGGCCCGCGUUAGAUUAGUUUGUUGGUGAGGUAAUGGCUCACCAAGACUACGAUCUAUAGCUGGUCUGAGAGGAUGAUCAGCCACACUGGGACUGAGACACGGCCCAGACUCCUACGGGAGGCAGCAGUGGGGAAUAUUGGACAAUGGGGGCAACCCUGAUCCAGCGAUGCCGCGUGAGUGAUGAAGGCCCUAGGGUUGUAAAACUCUUUCGUCAGGGAAGAUAAUGACGGUACCUGAAGAAGAAGAUCCGGCUAACUCCGUGCCAGCAGCCGCGGUAAUACGGAGGGAUCUAGCGUUAUUCGGAAUUACUGGGCGUAAAGCGAGCGUAGGCGGAUUUGUAAGUUGGAGGUGAAAUCCCAGAGCUUAACUCUGGAACUGCCUUCAAAACUACAUUUCUUGAGUUUGGUAGAGGAGAGUGGAAUUCCUAGUGUAGAGGUGAAAUUCGUAGAUAUUAGGAGGAACACCAGUGGCGAAGGCGACUCUCUGGGCCAAUACUGACGCUGAGGUUCGAAAGCAUGGGUAGCGAACAGGAUUAGAUACCCUGGUAGUCCAUGCAGUAAACGAUGAGUGCUAGAUGUUGGGAAUUUAAAUUUCCAGUAUCGCAGUUAACGCGUUAAGCACUCCGCCU
rnacentral:rRNA from 1 species